rnacentral:other from 1 species
GAACCCCUACUGUGCUCGCGAUCAAUCUGGCCUCGUUAUGAGCCAACAUCAUAACACAGGGAACUUUAACUCUGAUUAACUCGGGCGGGCCGUUUUUAGACGGAAGCCCAAAUUAAUCAGGUGGGUACCCACCUGCCACAUGCAGGUUCAUUCAGGUCAGCACUAGCGGUAUGGUGGGGGUUUA